AGAGUUUGAUCCUGGCUCAGGACGAACGCUGGCGGCGCGCCUAACACAUGCAAGUCGAACGAGAGAGAGGGAGCUUGCUUCCUCAAUCGAGUGGCGAACGGGUGAGUAACGCGUGAGGAACCUGCCUCAAAGAGGGGGACAACAGUUGGAAACGACUGCUAAUACCGCAUAAGCCCACAGGUCGGCAUCGACCAGAGGGAAAAGGAGCAAUCCGCUUUGAGAUGGCCUCGCGUCCGAUUAGCUAGUUGGUGAGGUAAUGGCCCACCAAGGCAACGAUCGGUAGCCGGACUGAGAGGUUGAACGGCCACAUUGGGACUGAGACACGGCCCAGACUCCUACGGGAGGCAGCAGUGGGGAAUAUUGCACAAUGGGGGAAACCCUGAUGCAGCGACGCCGCGUGGAGGAAGAAGGUCUUCGGAUUGUAAACUCCUGUUGUUGAGGAAGAGAAAGAACUGUACCUUACAAGAAAGCUCCGGCUAACUACGUGCCAGCAGCCGCGGUAAUACGUAGGGAGCGAGCGUUGUCCGGAAUGACUGGGUGUAAAGGGAGCGUAGGCGGGAUGGCAAGUCAGAUGUGAAACCUGAGGGCUCAACCUUCAGACUGCAUUUGAAACUGCUGUUCUUGAGUGAAGUAGAGGUAAGCGGAGUUCCUGGUGUAGCGGUGAAAUGCGUAGAGAUCAGGAGGAACAUCGGUGGCGAAGGCGGCUUACUGGGCUUUUACUGACGCUGAGGCUCGAAAGCGUGGGGAGCAAACAGGAUUAGAUACCCUGGUAGUCCACGCUGUAAACGAUGAUUACUAGGUGUGGGGGGAUUGACCCCUUCCGUGCCGCAGUUAACACAAUAAGUAAUCCACCUGGGGAGUACGACCGCAAGGUUGAAACUCAAAGGAAUUGACGGGGGCCCGCACAAGCAGUGGAGUAUGUGGUUUAAUUCGAAGCAACGCGAGGAACCUUACCAGGUCUUGACAUCGAGUGACGUAUCCAGAGAUGGAUAUUUCCUUCGGGACACAAAGACAGGUGGUGCAUGGUUGUCGUCAGCUCGUGUCGUGAGAUGUUGGGUUAAGUCCCGCAACGAGCGCAACCCUUAUCAUUAGUUGCUACGCAAGAGCACUCUAAUGAGACUGCCGUUGACAAAACGGAGGAAGGUGGGGAUGACGUCAAAUCAUCAUGCCCCUUAUGACCUGGGCUACACACGUACUACAAUGGCGAUCGAACAGAGGGAAGCAAGACAGCGAUGUGGAGCCAAUCCCAAAAAAUCGCCCCAGUUCAGAUUGCAGGCUGCAACUCGCCUGCAUGAAGUCGGAAUUGCUAGUAAUCGCAGAUCAGCAUGCUGCGGUGAAUACGUUCCCGGGCCUUGUACACACCGCCCGUCACACCAUGGGAGUCGGUAACACCCAAAGCCGGUCGUCUGACCUUCGGGGGGACGCCGUCUAAGGUGGGAUUGAUGACUGGGGUGAAGUCGUAACAAGGUA
rnacentral:rRNA from 1 species